UAUUGGACAAUGGGCGCAAGCCUGAUCCAGCCAUGCCGCGUGAGUGAAGAAGGCCUUCGGGUUGUAAAGCUCUUUUGUCCGGAAAGAAAUCCUCUGGGUUAAUACCUUGGAGGGAUGACGGUACCGGAAGAAUAAGCACCGGCUAACUACGUGCCAGCAGCCGCGGUAAUACGUAGGGUGCAAGCGUUAAUCGGAAUUACUGGGCGUAAAGCGUGCGCAGGCGGUUGUGCAAGACAGAUGUGAAAUCCCCGGGCUCAACCUGGGAACUGCAUUUGUGACUGCACGGCUAGAGUGUGUCAGAGGGGGGUAGAAUUCCACGUGUAGCAGUGAAAUGCGUAGAUAUGUGGAGGAAUACCGAUGGCGAAGGCAGCCCCCUGGGAUAACACUGACGCUCAUGCACGAAAGCGUGGGGAGCAAACA
rnacentral:rRNA from 1 species